rnacentral:lncRNA from 1 species
GUGGCUCCAUUUCUAGAGUGAUGAUGCUUAUCCCUGUACUUCAUCAAAGUCAGGAGUGAACUUUUCUGCAUCUUUCUUCUAUAGUGACCUGGAAAUCACAAAUGCUAUGCUUCCCUCCAGUGGCCCAUUAUCACCAACAAGUACUCAGCUGUGAUGGAUGGCUGUGGAGCCAAGUUGCAGAAAUGGAGAUGAGAAUGUCCAGUACUGAUUUGUGAAUAAUCCAAUGGACAGCAGCAGGGCCUCCUUUUUCCUUAU